rnacentral:tRNA from 1 species
GGGCGGUUAGCUCAGUGGUAGAGCGUCUGCCUUACAAGCAGAGGGUCACUGGUUCAAGUCCGGUACCGCCCA